rnacentral:rRNA from 1 species
CAGCCGCCGCGGUAAUACAGAGGGUGCGAGCGUUAAUCGGAUUUACUGGGCGUAAAGCGUGCGUAGGCGGCUUUUUAAGUCGGAUGUGAAAUCCCUGAGAUUAACUUAGGAAUUGCAUUCGAUACUGGGAAGCUAGAGUAUGGGAGAGGAUGGUAGAAUUCCAGGUGUAGCGGUGAAAUGCGUAGAGAUCUGGAGGAAUACCGAUGGCGAAGGCAGCCAUCUGGCCUAAUACUGACGCUGAGGUACGAAAGCAUGGGGAGCAAACAGGAUUAGAUACCCCCGUAGUCCCUGUCUCUUAUAC